UACGUAGGGAGCAAGCGUUGUCCGGAAUCAUUGGGCGUAAAGCGCGCGUAGGCGGCCCGAUAAGUCCGCUGUGAAAGUCAACGGCUCAACUGUUGGAUGCCGGUGGAUACUGUCGGGCUAGAGUGCGGGAGAGGAAAGUGGAAUUCCUGGUGUAGCGGUGAAAUGCGUAGAUAUCAGGAGGAACACCGGUGGUGUAGACGGCUUUCUGGACCGUAACUGACGCUGAGACACGAAAGCGUGGGUAGCAAACAGG
rnacentral:rRNA from 1 species